rnacentral:rRNA from 2 species
GAUUUCUGGUACGAUGCGCCUGGUCCACCAGGGCAACCUGUGUGAGUGCCGGUGUGCGUCUGCCAUCCUUGUACAGAACGGCUCUACCCUUCAUUGGGUCGGAGUCGCCAUGUACAUCUUUUACUUUGAAAAAAUUAGAGUGUUUAAAGCAGGCUUUUGCCAGAAUACAUUAGCAUGGAAUAAUAAUUUAGGACUUUGUUUCUAUUUUGUUGGUUUCUAGAAGUGAAGUAAUGAUUGAUAGGGAUAGUUGGGGGUGCUAGUAUUCAUCGGCCAGAGGUGAAAUUCUUGGAUUCGAUGAAGACUAACUAAUGCGAAAGCAUU